CAAUAUGGUGCACCACGAGCGCACAAGUUGGUACCCGAAAGAUGGUGAACUAUGCCUGGCAAGGGUGAAGCCAGGGGAAACUCUGGUGGAGGCCCGUUUGGAUUCUGACGUGCAAAUCGAUCUUCAAAGCUGGGUAUAGGGGCGAAAGACUAAUCGAACUAUCUAGUAGCUGGUUCCUCCUGAAGUUUCCCUCAGGAUAGCUGGUAAUCGUACAUAGUAUGACAUGUUUCAUCCGGUAAAGCGAAUGAUUAGAGGCCUUGGGGGCGAAAUGACCUCAACCUAUUCUCAAACUUUAAAUGGGUGAGAAGCCGGGCUUACUUGAAUGAAGCCAUAACGGCAUGUUGAAAUGAAUGAUUACCUAGUGGGCCAUUUUUG
rnacentral:rRNA from 1 species